UGACCCAUUUGACCUCAAAUCAGGUAGGACUACCCGCUGAACUUAAGCAUAUCAAUAAGCGGAGGA
rnacentral:rRNA from 1 species